GGAAGAGAGGGAAAACCCCCAGGGCUGGUGAGUGCACUGCGUGGGGCCCAGGGAGGCACAGCCCGCAGGGGAUUGCGCAAGCCCGGGGUUUCUGGAGGCCGAGGCCGCGGUGUUUUCCGCGAGGUUAUUAUGAGCUGAGUGUUCCUGGCAGGCACCCAGGGACUUUCCGCCCCCCCCCCCUCCCCAGGCGGCGGGCGCCGGCCAGACCGCCCCGCCCUCCCGCCGGGCCGGAACGCCCUGUACUUCCCCUCCCGCCCGCCAGCGGGGCAGAAACUCCCGCCCCCCCUUAUGCAAGCGGGGACUUCGCGUCCCCGUGGCCGCCCCGCCCCCGGCCGAGGGGACCCGCAAAGGUGAGGUGACUCUGGCACAGCAGAUGGCAGGUCUUGUCCUCCAGAGGGUCAGACCAGACCACUUCAGUGGAAGCAGUUAUUCUCGAAACCCCGAUUGGCAACUCCAGCUCCAGGUCUUUGGCUCCUACAAAUAAACCUGCUAUCGGCAUAUCUGGGAGAUACUGGGGCCAUAAAAUAAAGUGAAUAUUGCAAUAAAGCAAGUCAUAUGCAUUUUUUGCUUUUCCAGUGUAUCUAAAAGUUAUGUUUACACUAUACUGUAAUCUAUUAAGUGUGCAAUGUCUAAAAUAAUA